rnacentral:lncRNA from 1 species
GGCGAUGGGAGCGGUGGGGACGAGGCGGCGGCGGCGGCAGGAGGGGGAGCAGGUGCUGGCACAAGAGCAGCGGCUUGGGGGAGCCGGCAGCAGCAGUAACAGCAGCAGCAGCCGCCGCCGCCGCCGCCAGUAAACGCGGACGGUACCCCAGGGGACUACCCAGCCGGCCGGCCCUGGAAGCCGCGCUCGGGUCCCGCCGCAGUCGGCGGUGGGGGAUGGGCAGGCAGUGGCGGUCCCGCCUGCCGAGGGUUAACCCCCGCCGGUCCCGGUCCUGAGCUGGACCAGAGCCCUCCUCCAGAAACCCCUGCGUCCGCCACGGCCCAGGUUAAAUGGAAACCACCCUUGGGAACUGGAUGCCUGUGUAGCUGUUCUACCAUAUCAGUGUAUUGCAAUGAGUGGGGGAGGAGAGCAGCUGGAUAUCCUGAGUGUUGGAAUCCUAGUGAAAGAAAGAUGGAAAGUGGGAAAAUGUUGCACUGAAGGUGGAAUCAGCUCAACAACCAAAACAAGUUCUGAAAAUGGAAGUUGCUGUUUUGAAAAAGCUGCAAGGGUCGGAAUCUGGCAGAUCUUCGCCGUAGCCAGUCCCGAGGCACAUUCACCAUUAGUACCACUCUCCGGCUGGGUAGACAGAUUUUGGAGUCUAUUGAAAGCAUUCAUUCUGUGGGAUUCUUGCAUCGAGACAUCAAACCGUCGAACUUCGCUAUGGGUCGCUUUCCUAGUACAUGUAGGAAAUGUUACAUGCUUGA